rnacentral:rRNA from 1 species
UCGAGAAUCUUCGGCAAUGGGCGAAAGCCUGACCGAGCAAUGCCGCGUGCGGGAUGAAGGCCUUCGGGUUGUAAACCGCUGUCAGUUGGGAGGAAGGGUCCGUGAAGAGCGGAUCUUGACCUAUCUUCAGAGGAAGUCCGGGCUAAGUUCGUGCCAGCAGCCGCGGUAAUACGAACCGGACGAACGUUAUUCGGAAUUAUUGGGCUUAAAGGGUGCGUAGGCGGUGCGGUAAGUGCGGUGUGAAAUCCCA